rnacentral:rRNA from 1 species
CUGAUUAGCUAGUUGGUAAGGGAAAGGCUUACCAAGGCGACGAUCAGUAGCUGAUUUGAGAGGAUGAUCAGCCACACUGGAACUGAGACACGGCCCAGACUCCUACGGGAGGCAGCAGUGGGGAAUUUUGGACAAUGGGCGCAAGCCUGAUCCAGCAAUGCCGCGUGCAGGAAGAAGGCCUUCGGGUUGUAAACUGCUUUUGUACGGAACGAAAAGGUCCGGGUUAAUACCCUGGGCUCAUGACGGUACCGUAAGAAUAAGCACCGGCUAACUACGUGCCAGCAGCCGCGGUAAUACGUAGGGUGCAAGCGUUAAUCGGAAUUACUGGGCGUAAAGCGUGCGCAGGCGGUGAUGUAAGACAGGCGUGAAAUCCCCGGGCUCAACCUGGGAAUGGCGCUUGUGACUGCAUCGCUGGAGUGCGGCAGAGGGGGAUGGAAUUCCGCGUGUAGCAGUGAAAUGCGUAGAUAUGCGGAGGAACACCAAUGGCGAAGGCAAUCCCCUGGGCCUGCAC